CAAAAGCCUUAGUGUGGUUUUAAACCAUUAAGUCUUAAAACUGUGCAAAGGCUUUUGGG
rnacentral:pre_miRNA from 1 species